rnacentral:rRNA from 1 species
UACGUAGGGUGCAAGCGUUGUCCGGAAUUAUUGGGCGUAAAGAGCUCGUAGGCGGUCUGUCGCGUCGGCUGUGAAAACUCGGGGCUCAACUCCGAGCUUGCAGUCGAUACGGGCAGGCUAGAGUUCGGCAGGGGAGACUGGAAUUCCUGGUGUAGCGGUGAAAUGCGCAGAUAUCAGGAGGAACACCGGUGGCGAAGGCAGGUCUCUGGGCCGAUACUGACGCUGAGGAGCGAAAGCGUGGGGAGCGAACAGG